ACUCCUACGGGAGGCAGCAGUGGGGAAUAUUGCACAAUGGGGAAACCCUGAUGCAGCCAUGCCGCGUGUGUGAAGAAGGCCUUCGGUUGUAAAGCACUUUCAGUAGGGAGGAAGGUAGUGUAGUUAACACCUGCACUAUUUGACGUUACCUACAGAAGAAGCACCGGCUAACUCCGUGCCAGCAGCCGCGGUAAUACGGAGGGGUGCGAGCGUUAAUCGGAAUUACUGGGCGUAAAGCGCAUGCAGGCGGCCUGUUAAGUCAGAUGUGAAAGCCCGGGGGCUUAACCUCGGAAUUGCAUUUGAAACUGGCAGGCUAGAGUCUUGUAGAGGGGGUAGAAUUUCAGGUGUAGCGUGAAAUGCGUAGAGAUCUGAAGGAAUACCAGUGGCGAAGGCGGCCCCCUGGACAAAGACUGACGCUCAGAUGCGAAAGCGUGGGGAGCGAAACAGGAUUAGAU
rnacentral:rRNA from 1 species